rfam:Hordeum vulgare subsp. vulgare, WGS project CAJW01000000 data, contig: morex_contig_2551048
UAAGUACCCCCUCCGUCCGAAAUUAAUUGUCGCAAAAAUGGAUAGAAAUUGAUGUAUUUAGAACUAAAAUACGUCUAGGUACAUCCAUUUGUGCGACAAUUAAUUCCGGACGGAGCGAGUACAUG